UAGCUCAGCUGGAUAGAGCAACGGCCUUCUAAGCCGUCGGUCGGGGGUUCGAAUCCC
rnacentral:tRNA from 1 species